AUGCGUAGACGCGCCGGCCGGACUCCAAGCGCGGUCACCUCCACCAUCUACGUGCUUCGCUGCCCACGGCAGCCCGCUCGCUGCAGCCAUGCUCCCCACGCCUCGCCUGUCCCGACAGCCCUCUCAGACUUCCUCUCUCGGGCCACAACACAACGGCGGCGGCGGCGUACAGCGGGAGUAGGCGGAGCAGGAAGACCCCUCUCCCACACGUCUCUCCCUCGACCUCCCUCAGCAGCGUCGCAACUUCUCAGCCACGGCCUCUACCCGCUGGCGGCUGGUGGCGGAAGCGAGCCGCCUGCCACAUGCCUCCUCCGCCUUUGCCGUCCUUUGAUCCCCAGCACCCUGCCUACCUUGGCCGCCGCCACCUCUCUCUCUCUCUCUCUCUCUCUCUCUCUCUCUCUGAUCCAAUUCUUACUUUUUGAUGUGCUACUUCUGUUCAUGUGGAUGGGUCGCUGA
rnacentral:rRNA from 1 species